rnacentral:rRNA from 1 species
CCCUUAGAUGUCCGGGGCUGCACGCGCGCCACACUGAGUGGAUCAGCGUGUGUCUACCCUUCGCCGAGAGGCGUGGGUAACCCGCUGAACCCCACUCGUGAUAGGGAUUGGGGAUUGCAAUUAUUUCCCAUGAACGAGGAAUUCCCAGUAAGCGCGGGUCAUAAGCUCGCGUUGAUUAAGUCCCUGCCCUUUGUACACACCGCCCGUCGCUCCUACCGAUUGGGUGUGCUGGUGAAAUGUUCGGAUCGGCCGUUUGUCGCGGUUUCCGCGUCAUGUGGCUGAGAAGUUCAUUAAACCCUCCCACCUAGAGGAAGGAGAAGUCGUAACA